GACGAACGCUGGCGGCGUGCUUAACACAUGCAAGUCGAACGAGGUCCAGUGAUCCUUCGGGUGAGCGAAGACCUAGUGGCGAACAGGUGCAUAACACGUGAGGAACCUGCCCCAGACUUGGGAAUAACAGUCGGAAACGACUGCUAAUACCGAAUACCUUCGUAACGUCGCAUGGCGAAUCGAAGAAAGCUUUCGCGGUUUGGGAGGGCCUCGCGGCCUAUCAGCUAGUUGGUGAGGUAACGGCUCACCAAGGCAUCGACGGGUAGCUGGUCUGAGAGGAUGAUCAGCCACACUGGGACUGAGACACGGCCCAGACUCCUACAGGAGGCAGCAGUAGAGAAUCUUGCACAAUGGGCGAAAGCCUGAUGCAGCAACGCCGCGUGCGGGAAGAAGGCCUUAGGGUUGUAAACCGCUUUCAGCAAGGAAGAAAAUGACGGUACCUGCAGAAGAAGGUGCGGCCAACUACGUGCCAGCCGCCGCCGUAACAC
rnacentral:rRNA from 1 species